rnacentral:rRNA from 1 species
GGUUAAGCGACUAAGCGUACACGGUGGAUGCCCUGGCAGUCAGAGGCGAUGAAGGACGUGCUAAUCUGCGAUAAGCGUCGGUAAGGUGAUAUGAACCGUUAUAACCGGCGAUUUCCGAAUGGGGAAACCCAGUGUGAUUCGUCACACUAUCAUUACGUGAAUACAUAGCGUAAUGAAGCGAACCGGGGGAACUGAAACAUCUAAGUACCCCGAGGAAAAGAAAUCAACCGAGAUUCCCCCAGUAGCGGCGAGCGAACGGGGAGCAGCCCAGAGUCUGAAUCAGCUUGUGUGUUAGUGGAACGGUCUGGAAAGUCCGACGGUACAGGGUGAUAGUCCCGUACACCAAAAUGCACAGGUUGUGAACUCGAAGAGUAGGGCGGGACACGUGGUAUCCUGUCUGAAUAUGGGGGGACCAUCCUCCAAGGCUAAAUACUCCUGACUGACCGAUAGUGAACCAGUACCGUGAGGGAAAGGCGAAAAGAACCCCGGCGAGGGGAGUGAAAAAGAACCUGAAACCGUGUACGUACAAGCAGUGGGAGCAUCCUUUUGGGUGUGACUGCGUACCUUUUGUAUAAUGGGUCAGCGACUUAUAUUCUGUAGCAAGGUUAACCGUAUAGGGGAGCCGAAGGGAAACCGAGUCUUAACUGGGCGUUAAGUUGCAGGGUAUAGACCCGAAACCCGGUGAUCUAGCCAUGGGCAGGUUGAAGGUUGGGUAACACUAACUGGAGGACCGAACCGACUAAUGUUGAAAAAUUAGCGGAUGACUUGUGGCUGGGGGUGAAAGGCCAAUCAAACCGGGAGAUAGCUGGUUCUCCCCGAAAGCUAUUUAGGUAGCGCCUCGUGAAUUCAUCUUCGGGGGUAGAGCACUGUUUCGGCUAGGGGGUCAUCCCGACUUACCAACCCGAUGCAAACUGCGAAUACCGAAGAAUGUUAUCACGGGAGACACACGGCGGGUGCUAACGUCCGUCGUGAAGAGGGAAACAACCCAGACCGCCAGCUAAGGUCCCAAAGUCAUGGUUAAGUGGGAAACGAUGUGGGAAGGCACAGACAGCCAGGAUGUUGGCUUAGAAGCAGCCAUCAUUUAAAGAAAGCGUAAUAGCUCACUGGUCGAGUCGGCCUGCGCGGAAGAUGUAACGGGGCUAAACCAUGCACCGAAGCUGCGGCAGCGACACUAUGUGUUGUUGGGUAGGGGAGCGUUCUGUAAGCCGUUGAAGGUGUGCUGUGAGGCAUGCUGGAGGUAUCAGAAGUGCGAAUGCUGACAUAAGUAACGAUAAUGCGGGUGAAAAACCCGCACGCCGGAAGACCAAGGGUUCCUGUCCAACGUUAAUCGGGGCAGGGUGAGUCGACCCCUAAGGCGAGGCCGAAAGGCGUAGUCGAUGGGAAACAGGUUAAUAUUCCUGUACUUGGUGUUACUGCGAAGGGGGGACGGAGAAGGCUAUGUUAGCCGGGCGACGGUUGUCCCGGUUUAAGCAUGUAGGCGGAGGUUCCAGGUAAAUCCGGUACCUUUUUAACGCUGAGGUGUGAUGACGAGGCACUACGGUGCUGAAGUAACAAAUGCCCUGCUUCCAGGAAAAGCCUCUAAGCAUCAGGUAACACGAAAUCGUACCCCAAACCGACACAGGUGGUCAGGUAGAGAAUACCAAGGCGCUUGAGAGAACUCGGGUGAAGGAACUAGGCAAAAUGGUGCCGUAACUUCGGGAGAAGGCACGCUGAUAUGUAGGUGAAGUGAUUUACUCAUGGAGCUGAAAUCAGUCGAAGAUACCAGCUGGCUGCAACUGUUUAUUAAAAACACAGCACUGUGCAAACACGAAAGUGGACGUAUACGGUGUGACGCCUGCCCGGUGCCGGAAGGUUAAUUGAUGGGGUUAUCCGUAAGGAGAAGCUCUUGAUCGAAGCCCCGGUAAACGGCGGCCGUAACUAUAACGGUCCUAAGGUAGCGAAAUUCCUUGUCGGGUAAGUUCCGACCUGCACGAAUGGCGUAAUGAUGGCCAGGCUGUCUCCACCCGAGACUCAGUGAAAUUGAACUCGCUGUGAAGAUGCAGUGUACCCGCGGCAAGACGGAAAGACCCCGUGAACCUUUACUAUAGCUUGACACUGAACACUGGUCCUUGAUGUGUAGGAUAGGUGGGAGGCUUUGAAGUGUGGACGCCAGUCUGCAUGGAGCCAUCCUUGAAAUACCACCCUUUAAUGGCUGGUGUUCUAACGUGGACCCGUAAUCCGGGUUGCGGACAGUGUCUGGUGGGUAGUUUGACUGGGGCGGUCUCCUCCUAAAGAGUAACGGAGGAGCACGAAGGUUAGCUAAUCCUGGUCGGACAUCAGGAGGUUAGUGCAAAGGCAUAAGCUAGCUUGACUGCGAGAGUGACGGCUCGAGCAGGUGCGAAAGCAGGUCUUAGUGAUCCGGUGGUUCUGAAUGGAAGGGCCAUCGCUCAACGGAUAAAAGGUACUCCGGGGAUAACAGGCUGAUACCGCCCAAGAGUUCAUAUCGACGGCGGUGUUUGGCACCUCGAUGUCGGCUCAUCACAUCCUGGGGCUGAAGUAGGUCCCAAGGGUAUGGCUGUUCGCCAUUUAAAGUGGUACGCGAGCUGGGUUUAGAACGUCGUGAGACAGUUCGGUCCCUAUCUGCCGUGGGCGCUGGAGAAUUGAGGGGGGCUGCUCCUAGUACGAGAGGACCGGAGUGGACGCAUCACUGGUGUUCGGGUUGUCAUGCCAAUGGCAUUGCCCGGUAGCUAAAUGCGGAAGAGAUAAGUGCUGAAAGCAUCUAAGCACGAAACUUGCCCCGAGAUGAGUUCUCCCUGAGACUUUAAGUCUCCUGAAGGAACGUUGAAGACGACGACGUUGAUAGGUCGGGUGUGUAAGCGUAGCGAUACGUUGAGCUAACCGAUACUAAUGAACCGUGAGGCUUAACCUU